GCUUCUUCGGGUUGGUUCCGAUAACGUCGCGUUUGUGAGGAUCCGUUCGACUACGUCCGUUUGUCUUCUUCAUGGACUCGUUCUUCUUCCUUGCGGGAUUUCAGCUUGCAGGUGCCGAUGAGUCUGUGCAGAUGACGCAACCAAGCUCAAGGAGGAGCUCGAUGAAGAUCUUGCCCUUUGUGUUGUUUCGUUCUAGUUGAUCAGUAGUGGAGCCCAGUUGGGGUCGAUCGGGGACCUUUGUCGCAUUUGGGGUUCUUCUUUUAUUUUGGUUCCGUAGUCGGACCUUGAUUGUAUCUGGAUGAUGUAAUGCUUUAUUCAUUUAACUGUGUGAAGUGGCGAUUGUAAGCCAACUAUGUAUCUCUUUCCC
rnacentral:rRNA from 1 species